rnacentral:lncRNA from 1 species
CCGUGCCUGACUAGAGGCUGAUCAAGCACUUGCUUGAGGCCAAAACGUAGAUAAAUAGUUUUAUGGGCCAAUUUCUUGGCAAGAGUUGUCUACAGAACAGUUGGUAAUAGUCUGUAUUAUUACUCUAGGGUCCCGGGUUCAAUCACGAGUAUAGCAGUUUGACCUUUUUUCCAAAAAAUUUAUAGUUUAUGGGGCAAAUUUUUUUUAGUGCUUUAGGACCCACAAUAUUCAGGCAUGGCCCUGAAUUGCAACCCCACACUUAUAAAAAUGGAACAUGGAUGUUACCUCGUUAAGCCUAUAGCUUUUGGGUUUAUCAGGAAACAUUGCUUUGAAAACCCUCGACUUAUCCUCCAAAUACUCAUCGAACAACGCCUGAAGUUUCAAAGCAUUACAACACAAACAGUUUUACACUGAUGCAUACAUAUAUAACAUUAUAGAGAUUGAAAGUGAGAAAGAGAUACCAGAGGAGACUCGUGCAGUUGAACAUCGGUAGUUAUUUUAGAUGAAUAUUUGGAGGGUUUUACGGGUGACAACUGACACUUAACUCCCCACCGUAUUGUUCUCAUCUCCACCGCCACCGACCGGCGUCUUCCGAACAUCUUCGGGCAUGACAAAACCAUUGAGCUUACAGCCAUUUUACCAGUCUUUCUCUCUCUUUUUUGGUCUUCAAGAUUGGAUGAUAUUUGAUCUUUCCCACUUUUCUCUCUCUCUAUAUUUAUAUAUAUCUUCAGAGGAAAGAUUGCGUCUUUGCUUCUCUUUAAUACGUUUAGAGACCUUUGUUAAAGAAAAUAGAGACAGAGAGUAACAUUCUCACGGUACGCAUUUGGAAGAUAGUGGAUUUCGAGAAAUAAUUGUUGAAACAUUGCUUUUCAACCUCUAUAGUAACCGGGUACAUAUUCGGUUUGGUUUAAUUGUUUCAGGUUUUGUAAGAAAUAUAAGUCCACUUCAUUUAAUUUAGUUUAGUUUGGUUUGGUUUAGUUAAGAGGUUACCCAUUUAUUUUGCCAUCUACGUGGUGAUAAUGUAAAGCCUCGUCUGUCACGCAGUUGUUGAUGAGAGUGACACGAGAACAUUGAACGUUGAGAAUAAUCUGUAGAAUAACUUCUAUCACACGCAGAGGUUUUGAAAAAAAAAAGAAAAAGAAUUCAUUGCUUUCGAAACCGACAAACUCUCGGACCGAAUACUAAGAAACCGGUUUACUUUGGCGCCUAGGAAUAUGGGUUACUAACUUUGACUUUUAAUGUAAGCAAUAAGCAAAGAUCUCUUGUUGUUUGCAACUCUUUCAACUCUAUAAUCUUUGUUUUUCAGACUGGCUAAGUAAAUUAAAACAUUAAAAUCUUAUAUAGUAUGUUACGAUGACUGUUCAUAAACGAUUUGUUCAUGUUGGAUUGAGAAACUAUACAUGGUUGAGCAUUGACAUUAAAAUUCGGCUUUAGUAGAUAACUUGUGUAAUCUUCUCUCGUUCUUGAACCUGCUAUAAUCAGCGAGCAAGCUCCCAUUAACCUUAUGCUUCAUAUUCUCCACUAAACCUGUCAAAACCUGUAAAUGGGUCCAAAUCAGAUCAUGUGUAAAUCAUAAGAGAUAGUCAAAUAAGGUUUUACAUACCGCACUGGCCAAGUUUCUCCUAACGUCUUCAGGUACCAAUUCAAGAACCGGGGGAAGAACAAAGCUUAUGUUCAUCUCUAGCUGACCUCUGAGCCUUGUGUGCUUUCCUCUCCGGUCUGGGUACAAUGCUCCUUUGACUCCCAAACUGAAGUCAGACGGUUGCAUCACUCGGUCAAGCCCUUUAAGUUGCCAUCUCGUCUGAAAAGAAGCAUUUAAGAGUUUGAGUAAUGGAAGAUGAAGAAACGAAGAGAGAGAAAAGUUAUUACCAUGUUGAGCUCAACAACUUUGGUUAUGUCUAAAGGUACGUCUGCCGGGUAAUCCUGACCGUUGGAUUUGCAACUUAAACGCAUAUCGACCACAGGCCACACAGUGAGGAAGAGGAAAUUAAUUGGUAACAUCUGAAUCCUCCACUCUUCCUGCAAAAAUUCAAUUUAUCCAAGUAGACUUAAAAUAGUGAAAAAGGGGGCGUUCCGAGAAUUGAACUCGGGACCUCUCGCACCCUAAGCGAGAAUCAUACCACUAGACCAAACGCCCGUUUUGAACGUGUUUUAUAUAUAACUAAUGUUAGUCAUAUUAGUUGACGUACCUCGUUAAGCUUAUGGCUUCUGGGUUUGUCAGGGAACAUGGCUUCGAAAACUCUCGAUUUAUCCUCUAAAUAGUCAUCAAACAACGCCUAAAAGUUCCUCAAAAUCACAUUUAAGAAACGCACCAAAACAGUUUAAACUGAAUCGUGUUAUAGAGGGAGAGAGAGAAGGAGACCUGAGGAGACUCGUGGAGAGGAAUAUCUGUGGAGAGUCUUGACGAAUACGUGGCAGGUUUUAUGGAUGAUACCUGACACCUAACUCUCCACCGUGUAAUUGGUCUCAUCUCCGUCUUCACCGGUCGGUAAGUUCCGAACAUGGGCGAUGACAAAACCGCCAUUUCACCGAUUAUCUUUUCAAUAUCAGAACUUUUAUAUAUUCCACAUUUCUCUUUUGAUUUCUCUCUGAAAGUUAAAAACUUUUGAAAGAACUUUUAGAUUUCUCUAGAGGAGUGAAGUUGCUUUUUGCUAGAGAUUUUGGAGGGAUAAGGGGAUAUCUGUCUUUCGGCCUUCUAUGUCGACGUGGCAUAUUUUGAGACUAGCCACAUCAUCAACAUUUGGAAUUCGUAGGGCCCUUCUUUUCUUUGUACUCCUUUCGGACUUUUCCUUUCCGUUAGUGGAUGAGAAUGACACGAGACGAAACUAAAAAAAAAAAAAACUCAAAUGUAUUAUCUGACGACAAAGGAAGGUUCGACAAACUAAACUCAAUCCUUAUUUUACAUUAGUUCCACUGUACAUGUUCUGUCAUAUUAAAAGAUCAAGAAUAUUCAAAUCCUACGAGCAACGCAUUAUAUUGUCGGAUGAAUUUCCUUGAAAGUGUAUGGUUUGAAAUUUCAGGACUGUAGAGGGCACACAGAUGAUCCUCCUAAAGAAUGUAGAUAUCAAACCUUAAGUUCUGUGAUUUGUUCUUCGAUUUCUUGCUUAUAAAAGCAAACUAAAAUGAAAUGUGGAACGUAAAUGCCACAAUUGAUUCACGGCUUCGUUGAGCUCACUUCACUCUCUUUGUUAAAACUCAAAUACAUCUCGAUCUUCUUAGUUCCAACAACCAAAGAGGAUACAAAAGACAAUCUUUCACGGUUUAUUUCUAACAUUAGUAAGAAAAGGACUCGUCUCUUUCUCUCUUAAUUCCUUCACGGUUAAAACCUCAAGUCAAACCGUCAACACACUUAUGGGCCUUAUCCAUUUCCUAACUGGGCCUUAAUUUUAAUUUUAAUUUCUAGUCCAAUCGGUAAUCGCUUCGAUCUGUCGGUAGACAGAAUAGAAUAAUGGUUUCGCCGGUUAAACCAGUCGGCAAUCGGUACGAUCAGAUUGCAUAAAAGCAAAUCAUAAUAAGUCACGUGGCACAGUUUACACGGUUCGUAGACUCGUAGUGGUCGCCAUGUAAACAGCGGGAAAACAGGGCCCCACACAUAUUAACUAAGGAGUAGGACCAACAAAAUCAUCACCACGAAACGCAGCGUUUCCCCUUCGUCUCCGCGUUUAAAAUCUUCUUUCACCCUUUCGUCAUUUCGUCAGAUCCAAGAGAGAGAGAGAGAAAUCAGAAAAAGAUCUUGAAACGAUGCCGUACUACACCAGAGACGAGGAUGAAGUCGACGAUUUCGACGAGUUCGAUCCGACGCCGUACAGUGGAGGCUACGACAUCACCGUGAUCUACGGCCGUCCGAUCCCUCCUUGCGACGACACUUGCUACCCUCUCUCCUCCGCAGCGGAUGAAGAUUUCGAGUACGAGAGACCUGAAUUCACCUCGUACCACGAUCCUUCCGCCUACGCCGAAGAAGCUCUCAACCCCGAGUACAGCAGCUACUCCCGCCCCAAGCCCCGUCCCGGUUUUCGACCCGGUUCUGCCGGAGGCGGUCACGUCCAAGGUGAGCGACCCGAUCAGAGUUACGGAUCCGGUUACGGUGGUCAGACGGAGGCUGAGUACGGUAGGAGACCUGAAUCGGGGUACGGCGGAGCCACGGAGACGGAGUAUGGCCGGAGACCUGAGCAGAGUUACGGAUCUGGUGGAUACGGUGGCAGAUCGGAGGUUGAGUCUGGUGGCUAUGGUGGUAGAUCAGAGGUUGAAUCUGGUGGAUACGGUGGAAGAUCGGAGUCUGGUGGCUAUGGUGGAAGAACGGAGGUUGAGUAUGGCCGGAGACCUGAAUCUGGAUAUGGUGGGAGAUCGGAGACGGAGACCGGGUACGGAUCCGGGUAUGAGAAGAAACCGAGCUUCGGUGAAGAGAGGAGCGAGUAUGAGCGCAAGCCUAGCUAUGGAAGGUCUGAGGAUCAAGAGGAAGGAGGUUACAGGAAGCCUAGCUAUGGGAGAUCUGAGGAUCAGGUUGAGAGCUACAUAAAGCCCAGCAGCUACGGGAGGUCUGAGGAAGAGGAAGAAGGAGGCUAUAGGAAGCCUAGCUAUGGAAGGUCUGAGGAACAGGAGGAAGGGAGUUACAGGAAGCCUAGCUAUGGCCGUCGUAAUGAUGAUGAUGAUGAUGAGGAGCGCAGGAACCGUUCCGGUGAUGAUGAGGAAGGGAGCUAUGGCCGCAAGAAAUAUGUAAGUUCAAUAAGUUAAUUAUAUAAAGUUAUAGUCAAUUUGCAUCUAGAUUAUUGUGUGGAAAUUAAGUUUAUUGAUUGUUUAAACAUAAAACCCUUUUGUUGAUGGACUGAUCUCAACAUUGAAACUAAAGAUUAUAGUUUUGGUGAUAACAUCCAUUACCCCCUUUAACUUCAUUCGUUCAGUAUUUGAUUUAACAUUGACAUCUUGUAGGUUAUAACAAUCAUAGUACAGAACUUGCAUUGUGUUUUUUGCGUCUCGUUUGUUUUGAAAAUAAGUUUUAGUUUGGUUUUGAUCACAGUGUAGCGGUGUAACUCUGUUUUCACAUCCUGAAAUGGAGUUCCUUAAUUUGAAAGCUAUGUUCUACAAUCCCAUAAUAACGUUCCUGGUUCAAUGUUUGUUUGAAUAUAGACAUCUUGAAUAUGUCCCAUUGUUGAUCUUAGUGUAGAGUAGUCUCCAUGUUGAACUAAAGUGUUUGUCUUUCAUACCCUGUAACUCUGUUUUCACAUCCUGUAAUGGAUUAGCCUCGGUUGAAAGCUAAGUUCUUUGAUUGAAAUUGCACAUCAUGUAUAUGACAUUUGAAGAUCAUAGUUACAGAGUAUCUAUCUCCAUUGUUAUGGUGACCGUUAAUAGAGGCAUCACUGACUAAAGCUUUCGCUUAACGUUAUUCAUCUCUGCAUCAAAUUCUGUAGGGUGGCAAUGACUCUGAUGAUGAUGAGGAGAAGAAGCAGCAGCGUUACAAGCAUCACCACCACCAGAGGCGUCGUGAUGAAGACGAUGACUAAAGCCCUCACUCAGUGCUGGAAUCGAGUGCUUCUACUUAGCUUCAUAUUACUAAAUAAAAAGCUAAGGCAUAUUUAUCUUUGGAUGUUGUUGUUGUGUUUGUUUGAUUCUCUCUAGAUACAGCAGAGUCUGUGUCUGGGUUUGUUUCUGGUUCAUUAUAAGACCUUGAAUUGAUAUCGGGUCAUCAUCAUGAUGUUAAACUGUUGCUACUCUGUGUUUCGUUUUUAUUUAUGGAACUUUUCUCUUUUAUGGCUUCUGUUGUUUUGGUUUUGUCGAUAUUAAUAUUAAAAAUCAAAAGUCAUUGCCGAGAAGGAAAAAUAUUUUGUGGUAAAAGCUAGAUUCGAUUUUUUAUACUGAAUAUUUUAUGAUUAAAAACAGAAAAAAGAAAAUCGGUUUUGUAAUAGGAAUGGGUUAAUCAGAUACCUAUAUGUACAUUACACAUCUUUUUGCUUCAACAUCAGAAACUUACAACCAAACAAUUCUAAAAGAAGCAAUGUCAAGCGCUACAGUCCUCGAUGAAUCUAGCGUUCCUAGCCCCAGGAGUACAUGGAGGUGAGAUUCCACUAAAUAUAUUGUUAUGUAACAUAAGAUUUUUGAUUAUAAACAUUAUUAUACUGAAACGAAUUUUCUGGUUGGUUGCAGGAUGGACGGGCAGUUACGAUACGACAUUGCGAUGAACACCAUCAUUAUAAUCCUCAUCACUGAUGCGGUCUUACAUAUGACUCUGAGAGCCCACAAGAUUCCCCUUGCUGAUAACGUUGAGGGACUUUUAUGUACAUUUGUAGUUGCGUACGUGUUUGUCAUCACGACUAAUUGCGGGUAUUGGCUUACAGCAAGCGAGGAAGAAGGGUGUUUACUUGGAAUUUACAUCACGGGACGCCUUGGUCACACGUUAGGCUUUUGUAUUUUCCUCUGUCUCCUCUAUUCUAGUUCUCACUUGGCUAUGUACGUUGCUCUACCUUGUUUACUAUGUUUGGUGCCAGCCAUGUUUGCACCGUGUUGUCCAUGUCUGUGGAGAGGAGAGUCAACUUGGUGGAAUUUUGUGAAGCAACCACAACCAACAGUAGAUAUUGUUUAACUUUUGGACUAUUAUUAUUAAUAGAAUUUUUUAAUUCCUAAUUUUGUAAACAUCUCGUCAAUUGUUUGUUCUUAACUUUUCUCUCUUGCGAUCGGUGAAUUUUGUUUCCACUGUCUACCCAUAAACCUCGUGUUGACAUGUGUUUUGCGAUCUAACAAGAUAUUAUUAUGGUUUAGGGAUUGUUUUAGACAUCAAUCCUCUUUUGAUAUGGCUGAAGAAAAUUAAGAGUUCCUAGUCUUGAUUUGUUCCUGCUUAAUGUAAUUUGGGGAAAGUGAUCAUUUAUCUUUUGGUACAUUAUCAUUGUGUGUUGCAUGCAAAGUAUCAAUCUACUUGGAACUUAACAUUGCGUUAUUUGCAUCUAGCUUGUUUGGAAAAUAAGUUUUAAUUUGGUUUAAUCCCGUUGUUGAUCACAGUGUAGUGUGAUCUCAAUGUUGAACUAAAGAUAUCUUUAGUUUGUUCUUUAGAUUCUUUAUGAGUUACUACAAGCCUUUGUCUGCUUCCCUUUGGUUACAGGCUUGUCAUUACUAGUUGUAGAUCAUCAUUGAUUUUGCAGAACAAAAGAUGCAGAAGCUGUCCCAAAUAAGGACACAAGGACAUAAGUUUGUGCUUUAGAUCCUUUAUGAGUUUAUCUUCAGUUUUUGCGUUUUAGAUCCUUUAUGAGUUAUUACAAACCUCUCGACUCUUGUAAGGACAUAAGAUCUGUGCAUUAUCUGGUUACUGGCUGUACAAAGAGCUUGUCAAUUACUAGGUGUAGAUCAUCAUUGUUUCUGUUUGUUAAGAUGCAUUGAUGACACCUUACUCAUUGAUUCCCGAAACAAAAGAAGCAUAAGCUCUCUGAAAUAAGGCGUGGCCGCAAAAAUGCUAAAGUGUUGGUAUGUAGUCUAAGGCAUAGAUCGAAUAAAGCAGCGUUUUCCUUAUUGUCCCUUUGCUUUGUACAUUUUCUUAUUCACCAGAUUAGAAAAAUGGAUCUUGAAGCCAGGAGCCUUCCACCAAGCAUUAAUUCCAGCCUCCUUGUCAAACUAAGAGAGUUUUCAAGUCUGAUCUCAACAACUUCAAAAGCGAAGUCAAGAGAUCGAUGAGGUCAGCUGAUCGAUUGGGUCGAACCACAGACAGAAUCAAGAGACUGAAGAGCUUGGCGUCUCAGUCCUCCAAGACUUGCACAGUCAGAGACAGUCUUCCUCUCCUACGCACUAACGACACGGUAUGUGCUCUCUUCAACAAUUUUCUCUUACACGGGUUUUAUCAUGAAGAAGAAUACUACGUGUGAUUGGCAUCUCUUUUAACCAAUAGCUCGUUCUCUGAUACAUACAGCUUAGUGGAGUAGACGACAAUGUAGGAAAGAGCAAGAAGACCUUGACAGGCAUGACUAGGAGGAUGAACGGGAACAAAUGGACCAUUGGAGCCAUUAUCACCGCUUUGGUCGCCGCCAUUAUCCUCAUCUUCUACUUCAAACUCACCAAGUAAGCCUCUGUAUCUAAACUCUUUGUCGCUGAACAAAUGGUGUGCUGUAAGUAGUAACAGCUGAUGACGAGGAAGAAGAUAGAAGGAAGCUAAGACUCUGAGGGACAAAGAGGCUUCUGCAGUUACAGUGAAGCUACUGUAUAAAUAAUAUUAUAGAGGGAGUGAAAGAGAGACUUUAUCGAUGUAUUAGCUCAUGCCUCAUAGUUCCAGUUGAUACUCUAUAUUGUGAGAGAGAGUGAUACAGUUGUAUUGUGUGUGUUAUGGAUCAAUAGAGAUUUGGUUCAUGACAUCUGGCUUUUAUCUGUGUGAUAAGUUAUGUCUUUGCCACCUUUUGUAUUAUCACGUUCUCUUGUUUGUGUUUGCGUUUACAGUUGUGUAUUUUUAUACUAAAUGAUGCAGAUUGUUUUGUUUAUUAUUAAAAGCAAGCUUAAAUUACAUUUUAGACAAUUAGAACUUAAGCCUUGAGAAUAAGAACUAGUUGUGUGUUUUUCUUUCAUUCUUGAACCUGUUAUAAUCAGCGAGCAAGCUAUCAAUAACCUUACGCUUCAUGCUAUCCACCAAACCAGUCAAAAUCUGUAUAAACCUGGAAUAUAGCUGGUUCAUAAUAAGACCUUGAACUGAUAUUGGGUCAUCAUCAUGUAAACAGCUGCGACUCUGUGUUUUGUUUUUGUGCUAUGAAAAUUUCUUAUUUUAAAGCAUAACUUCUAUUGUUUUUCUUUUGUCCAUAAGAAAAUUUAUUUUGUCGUUAAAACCAAUGUGACCACACAAAACCACUUAUCUAAUCUAAUCUAGAAACAAUAUGAAACAAGCUUCCUGCCAAAGACAUACACCACAGUUACAACCACCUUUGAAAUCGACAUUCCAAGUAUAAACCAUCUUGGCCACAUGCUGUGAACAGUGGUUGAUCCUUCAGCUUCCUUACGCAGCUGUGAAGGUUCCAAAGAAGAGUGCGAUGACAAGCCACAGUAAGAACCAUCUAGUAUUGAGUUUUCUCCUCAGUGUCUCCGCUUUGUUGGCUUGUGGAGUUGUGCCAAGUUGAAGUACGUCGCCACGAAACCAAUGUUGUUGAGCAGGAGAUAGACAGUGUAACAUCGCGUGUCUCUGAAACGUAUGUAGCCAUUUGAAUCGAGUCCACUAGGUGGACUUGAGAAGGAAGCCACCGUGGUUAGGCCACCGAUGGCCAACACGAACUUGGUAAGUUCUUCUCGCUCUUUGUAAAGAGCCUCCAAAGGAUCCUGAAAUAAAUAAAGCGUAUGUAGCCAUGUGAUGUGGACUUGAGAAGGAAGCCAAUGUGGUUAGGCCACCGAUGGCCAACACAAACUUGGUAAGUUAUUCUCGCUCUUUAUUAAGAGCCUCCAAAGGAUCCUACAAUAAAGUGUACAAAUUUUGUAACUCAAAUCUUUUCCUCAUUCUCAGACAUCUCUCGUAGAAGACAUACUAACCGGUUUGCCUGAGAAAUAUAAAACUAAAUGUUUAAAGUACAUGCUUCUUAUAAAAUCAAUCUACAACUAUUCAAUAAAACUUGAUUUGCUUUUAUUAAACCCAUUAAAAGCAUUUACACACUCAAUCACACAACUAUACUUAAAUGCCACGACUUUCUCUUGUUCUAAAUAACUUUACGUCUUUACAUGUGUCUCAUUUGUAGACUUUCGUUACUACAUGUAACAUUUUUUCCAUGACUUUCAUGACCCGAAAUGAAGCUUUAAAAGUUCGUGAAACUAGUUUUCAAUAUAACAGUUCAUCAACUUAUCAACACAUUUACCUUAAUAUUCUAUGUUCCAAUAAAAUAAACAAACUUACUGCGAUUAUCGACGAAAUGGAGCUGAGGUUGAGGAAAGUCCUUGAUUUCCUAUCUUCAACAAAAAUAAAAAAGUAAAGAAAUGUUUUGCUAUUACAACAGCUUAUGUAGUGAUUCAGAUAAAACAAAAAAAUAAACACAACCUUCUGAUUGAUGCCACAUGAAAAAUGAUCAAUGUCUCUAAGCUUCUCAUCCUAAACGCCUUCCCCAUACAAUUUACAAAAUUUCUUCUCCUCUACAACUUUUGUCGUUAUGCGAAGAUGGUGACCCUCUGUUCAUUAAAUCGAUUGGGCUUUUUUUUCUUUCUUUUUUAGUAUCAUGUGCUUAAAGAUCCUAUUAUAAUAUUCUAAGUACGUUUUUCAUAGACGAGACAUCCCAAAUUUUUAUCUUUACUUUUCCUACACCAAUUCAUAGCUAUUUAUAUUUUGACGCAAACUAUAUAAAAUCGGAUCAGUUUACUCAAAACCCAGUACGUGGCUAAUCGUAAAAGAUACAUAGAAGUAUUCAACAAAUCAUUUCAUAUCAUUCAUUCAUUCACCCACAAAGAGCUCUCAAAUUGGUUUCGCAACUACAAAACAUCGAAUCCGUUCUUGGAUUAGGGUUUUGAGAUUGAGUCUCAUCAAUUUUUUUUGUUUCUUAUUGUAGAAAACUUUCACUUUGAGCUACAAGACAACUACUAGUGAAGGAGACCAGACAGUUCCAGAUCCGUUUCCAAAGUUGUUGGAUAAUUUAGGACCAUCUUUAGUACAUUUGUUCUUCGUCCCUGAGAAAAGAGGAGGAUCGAGUUAGGUUAAAUUUGCUACAGGUUAUGUCAAAUUGUGCGGGAGAAUGUCGGUAGUAAAAUGAACUUACUUAUGCACCUUAGUGUUUGUUAUCACACCUGAGUGUGUUGAGAUUCACAAUCUGAUUUUGAUGGAAGAAAGCGGGAAGAAACUAGUUAGCUACUUUCUUGAGAAUUCAUUUGUUCUCAAGAAACUCAUCCCGCGUUUUAGGGAUUCUUUAAUAUAUCUUACUCAGAUUUCUUCAAGGAGCUUCUUAAAUUCAGAAAGCGGUCUUGCAGUUGUCCGAUUAUUUUUCUUUGAGAAAUUGGCGAUUAGAGUUCAUUAUUUAUUUUGAUUUUGAGUAUCAUUGUGUAUGAAUUUCGUAUGGAUUGUAGAUUUUAUUAAAACCUGUUCCAUAAAGAUUUAUUUUUUGAUGGAAAAAGAGUAAACGACUUUAUAAGAUUUUGUUGCAGUUAAAAAUUAAAAGAUAAACAAAUAUAUAUUAUGUAUUUAUUUAUGAAAUAAGAAAAUUAAUUAAUACUUGAUUUGACAUUGUUAUCUUUAAGAAAUUUUAUACCUUCCAACAUGUUAAUAAAAUUGAUUACAUUAAAUAUAUCAACCGUGGCAGUUACAGCCCCCGAUUAAAGCAUUUGAUCUAGUCAGUAGAUUUCUUGGAAAUCAAGUUUCGAUUCCAUUUCAUUUGUGCAUGUUAAACGCCCUAGUAAUAGUUGUGCUGACUUCAAACAGAUCGGAGGCUUACUGAAUUUGAAUUUGGUCGACUUUGAGAAGGUGAACAAAAUUCGAUUGUGAGUUAUUUCAAAAACGUUUUUAUUGAUAAGAUGAAAAAGAGGUUACAGUGUUUGGACAUGUAAAGUAUAAAACACAAAUAUAAGUUGUUGUUUUUAACACUAGAUAAAUUACCAAUUACUAAUGAACAACUAUACAGAUAAUAAAGAGCCUACAAUACUUUGAAAUGUUCGAAGAGCUUUGCAUAUAAUAAUCUGUAAUAAACAAAACAUAAGUGUAAAAAUCUUUAAACAAUAACCAUUAAACUAUAGUGCUUAUACGAGUCGUAUUUGUUGAAAACAAAACAAGUAUGAGUCGUAUGACCUGAACAAAACAAAAUCGAAUAACAAACCGGAUCUAAUUGACCACUAACCGGAACCGGUUCAAUCGGGAAUUGACUCAAAUCCCAUUAAGCGGCGCAUCGCGAGAAAAAGAGCCAGCAACUGUUCAAAAUAUCUCAAUAGAUAGAUCAAAAAGCAAUCAUGGACACCAUCAUUCAUUAACAAAUAUCCUCUGAAACCUCCGUUUGAAUUAUUUCUAUCUUCUCACAUCGCAUCAUGGGUGCUUCAUCCUCUACAGAUAAUAAAGAAUCAUCGGAGAAGCGAGAAAUCGAAAGCCUCGCUGCUUCCACCGGUGCUCUUCCUCUGCUUCAACGAUUUUUCUCCAAGCUCGCCGAUCCUCAGACCAACACUGUUUCCUUCCAAUCAUUCAAGGUAAUAACGAUUAGGGUUCUGAUUGUUCUUAAAGAGAAUCUGGAUUUGCAGUUACAGUAGUUUUGGGAUUUGAUCGGAUCGUGAAUUAGUGUUUUGACACUGAGUUUGAUCGGAUCAUGAAUUAGGGUUUUGAGACGUUUCAUCAAUUUUUUUUUGUUUUGUUUCUUAUUGUAGAAAAGCUUCACCUUGAGCUACAAGACAACUACUUGUGAAGGAGACCAGAAAGUUCCAGAUUCGUUUCCGAGGUUGUUGGAGCAUUUAGGACCAUCUUUAGUAGAUUUGUUCUUCGUCCCUGAGAAAGGAGGAGGGUUGAGUUGGGUCGAGUUUGCUAGAGGUUAUGUCAAAUGCUGCGGAAGAAUGUCUGCCUCCAUGUCUUACAACACUCUGUUGAGAGUGUUUCAUCUGACAUCUCAAAACGCAGGCUUUUCCUCGAAGCUGGAGUUCGAAUCUGACGAAGCUGAUUGUAAGAUCAACGGGUCGGUUUCCACCGUAGAGUUGGUUAUGUUUCUGUGGAUGUGUUGGACGAUGUCGUGGGAUGGUCGAAGCAGUAGAUCCAGCGACUUGUUUCUUCCUGAUAUAAGCCACUUGGUUAUGUCAGCGCUUGUGUCUUGCACCGAGUCUGGAGCUAGUUUGGAUGUUUGGGAUUCUGAUGUUUUCGGAUUGGAGCUCGAGCUUCCUGUCGGGAAAUUCCUGACGUGGGCAUUGACGACGAUUCCAAGCCUCACUGAGUGUCUAUCUCACUUCUGCAACGCGAGGCUUCAGCAUUGUUUAAAUGCAGAGGUACUCUUUCUUUACCUGUUGCUUUUCAUUUAACCGUAUGGUGUUCACUAAAAGUGGAUUACAGGAUGGAUCUGGGCCUUCAAAGUCAGCUGGUGGAGAUGAUUCUGCGUCCAAGACAUGUGAUAACACUCUUCUAACAUGUGGAAGGGCAUGGGCGAUUUCUUUGACGUCCAAGAAUACCUUAAGUGAGGAGAUCUUGAGCUCAUGCUUUCCCUGCAAUGGCGAUGAACCCAAUGAAAAUCUUCUUUACCGGUAUCCCACUGUCCUACUUCUGUGAAGGUUCUGUCUCUAUAGUGUAACUUAACGUGUUCAAUGUUCAUCUGUCUUUCAGCUCAUACCAUCAUGGGAAAGGCAUGAAUCGAUUGUGGGACAACGUUCAAGGGUAUCAUGCUCCUAUACUAUUGCUAGUUUCUGCAAGCGGUGGAGUUGAGCAGGAGGGUAGUUCAAGCGAGAGGAAGUGGGUCAUUGGUGCUAUCUUGCAGCAAGGUUUUCAGAACAGAGAUACAUUUUACGGAAGCUCUGGGAACUUGUUCUCCAUUAGUCCUGUCUUUCACGCAUUCUCAUCUUCAGGUACUGCACACAUCAGAGAAUUUUCGUAGGCGUAGUCAGUUGUUUUGCAUUAGUGUAGUCUUAUAUGGUUUUGUGUUCAACUUCAGGGAAAGAGAAAAACUUUGCAUAUAGCCAUCUUCAUCCCUCUGGUAGAGUCUAUGACGCAAACCCAAAGCCUGUUGGAAUUGGUUUCGGGGGAACACAAGGAAACGAGAGAAUCUUCAUCGACGAAGACUUUGCUAAGAUCACAAUCCGUCAUCAUGCAGUUGAUAAAACUUACCAGCCUGGCUCUCUCUUCCCAAACCAGGUAACGCAAGUGCUGGUCUAUAUAUAUGAUUCAAGUUUUGUGGUCUUGGAUAUUUAUAACAUCUGUUGUUGCAGGGUUAUUUACCAGUAGAGGCUUUGGUGUCAGAUGUUGAAGCAUGGGCAUUAGGUGGAAAAGCAGCUAAGGAAGUUCAAGAAGCAUACAAGAAAAGAGAAGAGCUUUUCACUGACCAACGUCGAAAGGUAAGAAAAGAUCAAUAAGAUCUAUUUAUGCAAAUGCACAAAAGGACUUGCAAGUUUGACAAGUUGUUAUAUGUAUCUACAGAUUGAUUUGAAGACGUUUACGAAUUGGGAAGAUUCACCUGAGAAAAUGAUGAUGGAUAUGAUGGGGAAUCCUAAUGCUCCGGCUAGAGAAGAGAGGUAAUGAGUGAGGGGAGCAAGACUUGUUUGGUAUAUUUAUGCACAUACGUUUUCUCAAUAGAGGUUUCGUCUGUAAAGUAUAUAUUUGAAGAAACUCAUUUGCUGUUUGCGUAAGUUAUGUUUACUAUUAUCGUUGCCAAAACUCGAACCAGAGUGUUGAGUUUGAGAUUUACCCAAUAAAAAAGAGUUUUAUUUGAAGAGUUUUAUAGACGUUACAAUGAAUCAACAAGUAGAUAAUUGUGGUUUUAAGUUUCAACUAAGCAACUCUUUUCGUGUGAAAUGGUUUCCAGAGCUCUCUGCUUUCUGCUGAGAAUCAUCUCCAUCACUUUAUUCAUAGACUUGAUCUCCUCCUCUGCCUUCUUUAUCUUUCUUUCCUCCGACUCUUAUCUUCUUUCUUCUUUCUUCUUACCAAAACCAUUUUACUCUUUUCUUCAUCUCUUGCCUCACAGAUCCUACAACAAAGAAGGCCAUACCAAAACUUGGUUUUCUCUAAACCGAAUCAAUUUUAGUUAUAGUUCGGUUCAUCCUAACCCAAAAAAAAAACUAAAUGGCUUAAAAAUCGGUUAGACCUGAAUCUGGUUGCGUAAGCCUUUGGUAGAAGGUGAUGAACUUCAUAGAGAAGCUGUACAAGGGGGAUUAAAAUACUUGGUUUCUCUCCCAUUCAAGUUCCCUUACCUUUCUCUCACAUUCUUCUCUAUCCAUUCUCUAUCCAUUGUUCCUGUGUUAUUGUUAUUUUCUGGCCAUCUCAACCACCUAUGUAACUUCCCCAUCUGUUCUAGAGAAAUAGACCGAUGUAACUUCCCCAUCUGUUGAGUGGUACGGUAUUGUGCUCAAAGUCCCCUUGAAUACUAAAUUGGAAAUGUUGCUGUUGCUACGGUUUUGACGAUAGAAUAUAACUCAUAUGACAGGUUGGAAACUGAAUUAUUUUCUUUCAAACCAUGUCUUCAAAUCGAUCACAUUAGUUUUGGUUUUGCUUUUUGUUUCAAUGUUAAAUCAAUGUCCAUAAAAUUGGUUUUGUUCUUUUAUACUCUCACUAAAAAUAGCAGCAUUCUUAUUAAUAGAUGUAUACAUUGUGACAAAACUCAAUUCUAGUUAAUACAUCCUCUAUUUUUGAUGAAAAAUAUAAGUUAGAGAUGCUCUUACACAUUGAAUCCACAAGCUAAUGACCAACAAACUAGUUUAUUCAAAGUGCAUAAUUUACUAGCAAAACCUCCAUUAAAAACAGUGCUUGACAAACAUGAAUUCUCUCUUUCAAGCUCAAGAACAACGCUUAAACAAUAUAUGUAUCAGGUAGGAUUCAAAAGCUCUAAUCCGAAACAUGAAACAGAGUAUCACAAGGACAUGCAUAGGUAUUCAAAGCCUUAUCUGCUAUACUUCCUUUUAUCUGCUUUAAGUUUAUCCCUAAAAUCACACCAGUAUGUUGGCUCAUCUUGCAAAACAAGCCUCACCAGCUUCUUAUUGAGAAAAUGAAGACAUGAAUUAAACUUCAUGGUUUCUGAUCAAAAGUUGACAUCAAGAAAGAAACAAUACAAAUCUAUAUGUCCCAACCUGAAACCCAAAGCUUGAGACACAUAUCAAGAGUUAUACAUACCCAAAACUGAACAAGAGUAAACCCAAAUCAAGCGAGCAAGCAUAUCAUUGCUUCUUGUCUUCUGCUUUCCUCGGCUGCAAAAAAACAACAAACCAAACCAACACACACAAAGAUCAGUUCUCUCUUCCUCUCACAAUGAUAAAAUGUGUGAAAAGACAAACGGACCUUAACACCAGGAGCUUCUUGGUGAAUCUCUUCCUCAGGGAUGAUGACAGGCCACUGCUCCCCGGCUUCACGGAACAUCUGCUCCGUCUCGAGAUACUGCCCUUUAUCAAGAAUCAUCUUCCUGAUCGACUGAGCCGACGUGGCAGCCGCAUCGAAAGCUUCCUCGACACCAUUGACGAAAGUGACACUGAUCUGCGGUGGCUGAUCGUCGGUUCUGCGUUUCACCAGAACCUGACAGUUAGGGUUGGACUCUUUGGCCUUCCUCGCGUUGCACUGAGCCAAGAACUCGACGCAGGAGGCGAGUCUUGGGUCCAAUGUGUUGAACUCGAUCUUUACUUUUGAUAGGAACUUCAACAUCCUCUUCUCAAACCUAAAACAGUCAUUGAUAACAAAUCGUGAAGCGAGAUCUGAAGAUGAUUUCUACCAAAAUCUGAUAACCCAAUGAAAUUAAUAAGUAUACGAAAUUAAAUUGUGGGUUGAGAAGGAGAUCUCUGACUUACACAGGUCGACGGGGGCUCUCCGGCGAGAAUUGAUUUUAAGGGGAAAAUGCAGAAGAAACCGAUGCAGGUGGAAGGAAGACUGAAGAAAAGGGUUUUGGGCUUUCGACUGUGUAAAAGGACGAUAGUACCCUUAAUAUUUAUUCCCCUUUGCUUCGGUUUGGUUCGUUUUUCUGAUAGAGCCGCAGAGAAUUUUUGCAAUAAGGAUAGAUAACUAUUUUGAUUUUCUUGUAAUUGCAUUAACUUGAACUGAAGUACAAUGUUACAACGCUUAGGAAUCUAAAACAAAGCCCGAGAGAAAUAUGGGAGACACACUGCCGGCAAAGACACACCUUUCCAGAACCAUGACACUAAACAAGAGAAAUAAAGAAACUACAACAACAUAGACAACAAGAUUUUCAUCUAAAAACUUCAAUCUUUCCAUCAACACUGAUGAUAGGACCACGGCAAACCAACAUUGAAGAAAGGGAGAUAGCAAACCCCAACAGAAGUGUUAAAAACACCAGAUAAAGCACCAUUGGAAUAAAGGAUAAGGUGAUCUCUUGCUUAACCCUUGUCCCAAGGUAAUCAGAGACCCGGCGAAGCCACAAGUUCAAUACACCAUCCUACAAACAACUGUUGGAGACAACCACUCAACAAACCCAAACACUGGAAAGAGCAUGACACCUCAAAGAAACUACAAACCCCACUUCACAACCGGCAAGCGCAAAGAAGUAACCAGAACACGAACAACGCUCUGUAGCACCGGAAAAAAAAAACUGAUUUGGAGGAAGAAACAAAGCUAAUAUUGGAGCCACAAAGGAGACGACUCCCUUCCUACAGUUUCAUAAUGAAACACACCCGACAGGAAUCUGAACUUAUCAAGAAGAGGUUAGCAGCACAAAGGCAUUGCCCUCACUAGACGCCAAGAAACCCCAACCCGCAUGCGAGAACCGAGGAGAGGCCAGACCAGAACCCAACAACAUCAGAAGACUGCAUACCACCACACGAUCAGAGAACCGACGCAAAGACCAUCGAAAAGCAAACUCCACCAGAUCUACUACCACCCACAAAGAAAUAGGGAUGGCAAUAAAUAAUCUGGACCGCGGGCCUGACCCAUAAAGACUUACUGCGGGGCGGAAUCGGGCCACCUUGGUAAGCCCGCAAAAUAUAUAUGUAUUUUUUUUUUGAUAAAUGGUCAUGAAAACACACGAAGACAUUACAAAAUGAAGAUGCGAGUAUAAAUUAUACUAUCGUGAAAUUACAUCGCAGCUAUGAAUAUUACAUUUAUGUAACUUUAAAAUUUUAAAUUAUAUAUCUUCUUUGAAACGUUUGUCAUUUUUCUAUUAAUUUGGAGUAUUUCAGACCUGUGAAAAUCAUAAAUUUUAUCUUCUGUUUGGAUAUUUAAAUAAUCUGUAAAGCAUAAUUUCAUAUUAAUCUGUAAAGUAUAAUUUCAUAUCUACAAAAUCCUCUUGUAACCAACUAAACUAGAGAAGAAUUUAACAAAUAGUUGGCCCUUUAAAUACUUUAAUUAUCUAAGCCCCCAAGCACAUGCUUUACUUGCUUCCAUUCAGAGCAUCUAAAAAAAACUCUAUUUUGAAGUUUCUAAAACUCUAUAUUUGAAGUUUUAAGGUGUUUUUCUCCAAAAGCAAAACUUCAAACUUAACUUCAAAGCUAUUUGUAUUUUAUAAUAUGGUCCUAAUUUAAAUUCAUAAAACUUUUGUAUAUAACUAGCACAUAUGUAAACAUAUUACAAUAAUAUUAAUUAAUGAAAUAUUAUAUUAAAAUAUAAAAAUUUAAACAAAAUAACUUAACUAAUAUUAAACUUCAAGCAAAAUACCAUAUUAUUCCAUAAAGUGAUUUUCGUAGUGCAUAUAUGAUCUACUAGUGCAUUUUGAAUUAAAAAUAGUUUUCCUCAUUUUUAAUUUGUAGAUUAUAGAUAAUAAAUGUUGAAAUCGGGAGAUAUUAAUACUUGUAAAUACAUUAGAUCAGAACAAGAAAGUAAAAGACAAACAUAAAAUAUUUCUAAAAGACUAACUUUUAUCGAUGAUAUUAAUACUCGUGAAUAUAUUCAAUAUGAACAAGAAAGAAUUGUACGAAAAGAUAUCAUCAACAAAAACAACAACCAUCUUCAAUUACACCAAAAAACUAGACAAUAUUUGAAAUUUUGAAGGUUCCAGAUCAAACUUACCUAACUAUUAGUGUUAUUGUAUUAUUCAAAUUUGUGUAAUAGUUAUGUCUUUAUAUAAUUUUUUAAAAGUUUUUUUGUUAAGUUUCUUUUGUAUAUUUCUGUUAUAUAAAUCUAGUUUUAAAUAUUUUAAAUAUUCUUUUAACAAAAUACAAAUAAAAAUAUGAAACUUCAAAUUUGAAGUUUUGAGUAGUGAAACUUCAAAUAUAGAGUUUCACCUCUCAAAACUUCAAAUUUGAAGUUUUGAAGUUCAUUUUUAGAAAGUAAAAAGCUUUAUAUUUGAAGUUAUAGAGUGUCUUUUGUAGAUGAGCAUGGCUCUAUGUCUACUACUAUACUAUGUGAUUGUAAUUGGUUUAAGAUAUUUAAAGGUGUAUAGUGAUUCAGUUAUUGUUUAUGUAUUUAGGCAGUGCUGAAAAAUUAAUUCACGCAUGUUCAAUUUGAUGUUAGCAUUUUAAAAUCAGGUCGUAUGAAAGCAAGAUGAUCACCUAGACAAUUUUGAGUUUGACAUAACAAUAUAAUAUUUGAUAAAAUCUUUCAAACUUUGUUAAUAUGCUCACAAGUCAUAGUAUUACUAUUUGGUUGGUGGCCUAACACAUGUCUUUCGUCAUUGUGAAUAACAGUAAACAAAAUUGGUUUCUCACUUCUCUAGUUUCAAGAUAAAAUAUAGUAAUAAAUUUAAUGUUCUGGGUGGUAAAUUAUGAAAAAGAAGCAUCUCAUUAUAGAAACCUUUUUGGGUUAAGUAAAUGUUAUAAUCAUUCAAAAUUAGUUAUAAACUAGUAGAUUGCUGUCCAAAAAAAAGACUAGAUUAGGUCUAAGCAUUGCACAAGACAAAUGUAUUUAUUAUAUUAUUUAACUAACAAAUCUAUUAAAAUGCUAAUUCUACAUUGCAAAAUAAAUUGACUUCAUUAUUUUUUACAAAAAAUGUAACAAGAAUCUUCAUAUCUCACACGAACACAUGAAUUACAAGUCUACAACAGAUAUUACACCUCAGAAAUUCCAAAAGCAACCCGAUUCUCCCAUACCGGCUAAAGCGGAGGGGUCAGUACCAGUACCGGGGAACUGGGUUUCGUGACUGUUAAGCAACAGUUUCAUUAGCGAAUCAUUGUCUGUUAGAAACAGAGGAUCAGGGUAAAACAGAGGACCAGAACCGUCUUUGGACUCGAGAUGAAUGAGUCUUUUAUCUUCGGUUUCUUGGUCGGAGAAGCAGGUCACGUGAGUAGACGAACCAGGGAAGGAAUCUCGUUGAGAAGAAUCCAUCAACGAAGGUAAUCCGACCGGUUCAAUCCGGUUAACGUGUGAAUCAAGCAACAUUAAAUGGGACAUAUCAACCUUUGUACCAUCGGCACGUUUAUGGAAAACACGGCAAAUAACCCAAUCGUUCUACAUUCACACACAACAAAACAGAACACAAAAUAUCAAUUCAAUUCCACACAAAAAAAGACAAAAAAUGUCUUUGAUGUUAUUGUUACCUUAGCUGUCUGGGAGAGAUGUUGGAUAGAAUAUAUGCCUUCUAAUCGAUAUUCAUGCAUAACCCAAUUGGUUCUUACUCCUUUAGGAGCUCUUCCUUUGUAGAAAACCAGAGUCUUCUUCAUACCCACAAGUGAUUUCCCCUUGAAAAUCUCUUUAUCUUUGCCUGUGGCUUUCCAGUAACCGGCUUCAGUUGCCCGGUUUGUCCUUAAACCGGUUGGGUAUUUCCGGUCUCGCACACAAAAGAAAUACCAUUCUUUCUCCCCUAUCUUAGCUUUCCCUAUUUCACCAAAAGCCAUCACAUAUAUAUUUGUGAGUAAUAAUAAAUUACAGAACAAUAAUAACUAACAUAAAAAAGUUUAAAAAAGGUGGAAAAAGUUUAGAAAAGGCAUGAUACUUCAUGCAGUCUCAAACCAUUUGUAAAGUUUUGUGGAAUCAUGUAUAUUAAACAUAUAUAUUAUUUUUUUUUAACUUCAGAUAUAUAAAUUCAUAUUUACAGCUUUUGUUAUAGUACAAACGUUUUUUAAUUGCUGGAAAGGUUGUACACUUACUUGGUAACUCCCAAGGCUCGAUCUUGUUGAGAUCAACUUCACCAAUGGCGGUGGCAGAGAAGAAAGUGUUGAAGACCUUUUGUUUGAGAUAGUGAGUUAUGAGUUCUUCAUCAGUAGGGUGAAAUCUGAAUCCAGGUGGCAGAUCAAUUUGCUCUUCAUCUUCUACUAUUUCACCGAUUCUUGAUGCAUCGUAAUCCAUUUAUCCUAAUAAAGUUUAUUAGAAACAAUCAAAGUUAUGUAAGAGAGAAGAGAAGGGUUUUUGAAGAGAUGAAUAAAAGGGUUUUGAAGAGAGAGAGUGUGUUUUUUAAGAGAGAAGAGGAAAGGGUUUGAGCAACGAAGCUCCUCUCUAUAUACUAGUUUUCCAUCAGAGAAAUAAGGAAAUAAUAUUAUUAUUGUUGAUAUUGACCAAUAAUUGGUCAAUCUUUUGUGUAUCAAGUUCUUCUUUCAAAGUUUCAAACUAUGAGUUGUAUUGAAUUUCAAGAGUUUUUACCUACUAUAAAGAAAACUUUUAUCUUCGCUCUAAAUGAUUUAUUGUAUAUAAAUGGGUUUUCCGAUUUAAAUCUCGUACAGCCAUCAAAUCAUAUUAUAAAUCAGAAAAUGGGUGUACACACACAUUAACACAUACUAUAGUUAGUUUUCUUAGUAUGAUAGAGAAAGAGGAAGAUGCGUCGAUUGUUAGGCAACUUAAGAUGUGUAAUAUUCAAUAAUCAUUUCUCAUCAUUAAAAAUAAACCUUUCUAUUUCAAGAACUUUAAUAUUUCCAAGUUUCAAUUUGACCAGGAACACUUCACCUGUGGCUCCCUGUCCCUUUUUUGGUUAAUGUGAUAAGAACAAUCUUAUCACAUUAAAUCCUGAUGUUUUGUCCAUUCUUGAAACUAAUUAUUAGUUGCUGGAAAAAGAAUAUCAGUAGAAAACUAUGAUUAUUGGUUUGAAAACAUUUUACAUUGAAACUAUAUGAUUAUAUAAUUGAAACAUUAUAAAUUACCGCGGGUCACUAUUAUUGGUGUUGUGAUUCAGGAUAACUAUGAGAAAAGAGUUUACCAUGGUUGGAUAUAAUUUGUUUUAUUUACUUAACAAGUGUUAUCCCUCUCAUGAAAAGAUUAUGCAUGCAUGAACCUUGGAAAGUAGAUUCUUUAGUAUUAAAGGAACUCUUUUCUUUGUCCUAUUACAGUGCCUACCGUUAUAAGAAAUUAUAAUACUAGUAUGCAAGAUUUUUUAAAAAAGUUCAGUGAAAAAUUGGAAAGAAAAACGAUUUCCUUGUGAAGAUGGGUAAUGAUGAUGAAUGGAUGAGGAUUGUGAUGAUGAAAAUCUGUUAGAAUGUGAAGACAUUUUGAACAACCUCAACCUUAUCAUAUGUGAAUUAUUUGAUUUUUUUAAUGAUCGAAUCACGCGUUUGUGCAUACGAGGUUGUCAUUUGUCACUUCUACAACAUGUGCAUUUUAUUCUUUUCUAGCCAAAUUUCUUCCUCAGUAUUUUUAUUAUACUUGCUGUUUAAAUCCUUAUAUAAUCGAUGUAUUGGUAUUUUUAAUCAACUAUAGUUAUCAUAAAUUGGAAUUUGGAUCGAUACUGGAUAUAUAAUUUAUAUCUUUCUAUUGCACUCUUUUCUUUUCAACUAAUUUCCCAGACUCAAAAGAGAAAAGAUACAUAAGUUGCCAGAAAAAAAAUCAAUGUAUGUUUCACACUAAAAGAGCUAAUGACAAAAUUCAUAGUACAACAAAAAGAAUAUCAAUUCUAGAAGGCCAUAAAGCAACACUCAAGUGAUUGAUGGAACACGUGGAUUUUUCAAAUUAUGUUCCUUCUUCUCAAAAACCCGUUUAAGUUUCCUUGCCUUUUUGACCAAAUUCCCCAAUCUAUCAUUUGUCAAGUUGCUCCUCCAAAAAAUUGCUUAUACUCUUUUUAACAGAGAUGAGUAGGGUUACAUAGACAAAUUGGUUAUAUAUAUUAGGGGUGGGCAAAAAACCCAAACCGAACCGAACCGAACCAACCAAACCGAAGUUAAACCGAACCAAACCAAACCGUGCUCUUUAUGUAACCCAAUUGGUUCAUGUUUUACUCAACCCGAACGGUUUGGUUUGGUUUGGGUUUAAACCGAACCAAACCGAACCAAACCGAUAAUCCAAUAUAUAUAUAGUAAAAAUAUAUAUGAUAUAUAUAUAUGUAUUAACAUAUUGCAAAUUUUAGUUAAAGUUUCGUUUUUCAUUUUUUCAUAACUUCCAUAUCUUUAAAAAAAAUUAUAAAUACGAUUCAAAUAAUACUAUUAUAUAUAAAAUCAUGUAGCAUAAGUUUUUAUAUUCUCACUCUAUCGUUUAUGAGUUGAUUAUUUUUUAAUAAAAGUAUAAAACUAAUGCCUUCAUAUUUUAUAACCAACCCAAACUACACCGAACCAAACUAGACCAUAAUAAUGUAAACCAAACUAAAUCUAAACCAAACCGAACUGAACCGAACCGAAUUAAACCCAAACCGAACCCAACCCAAAGCUACUUUGGUUUUAAUUGGUUUGAGUUUUAUAAAACCCAAAUUACCCAAACCAAACCGAACCCAAACCGAACCCGAAACUAAACCGAAAUGCCCACCCCUAAUAUAUAUAGGGGUUAUUUGUGAAAUAACCAAAAAAGAGUAAUUAGUAUUUUUUAAUGAGAGGUUAGAAAGAAAUAGGAAGAGAAAUGAGGAAAGAGAUGGUUGUUUUGGUUAGAAAAUGAAUUUGAGGUUUUUAUGUAUAUAGGGACAUAUUUCCCUUAUAUACUUUUUGUUUUCAAAAACAAAAACCAAUAUAACUACCGCAUCAUUAUUUUUCAGUUUGUUACUGUGAAUGUUUUUGAUUUGAACGCCAUUGACUAGAUCAUGUCCAACUUCUUCAUGACCAUUAUUCCACUAUCUCUUUAUCAUGGCCUAAAACCUCGCGCAUUCAUAUCAAAAAUCUCAUUAGAAUCGAAUUGGAGAGUUUUCAAAACUCUAAUGCUUCUCCAUAUCAAACAUCUCAUUAAAAUCGCCAAAUAUUAUUCACUACUUCUUAGUUCUUACCUAUUAUGGGAGAGUUGUGAUGAUCCAUCAGUUCCCCAUAUAGAACUUCUACCGUUAUCGCUCUUCCUCGAAGUUAGAAGCGUAAAGUGUUUUAUGAUAAAAAGACAGAAAGGAAAUGGGAUGGCAAGAAACUUAUAGAAUUUUUGUUAUGAUCUAUAAUACAAUUAUUAUUACUUCGAUUUGUUUGAUUAUUUUUUACUCGUGGUUCUUUUACUAAUUGAUUAGUUAAGUUUGGCUACACUUGUUGUCUUAUAAGAUUGAUAUCGUAGAAAAGUGAGAAGCUUACAAAUCAGUUUGACGUUUUUGAUUGGGACUCGGAUAUAGUGGAUUCAGAGGAAGUGGAUGAAGAUUUCAUUGUCGACCUAAUGACUCUAUCAACUAGCAGACUUCUUUAGGAUAGGUUGGUGGCAAUUUCUGAAAUGCAACAGAGAUGAAUGCUACUUUAAGCUCAACUCAACUAAGGCAAAAGGAAGUCGAAUACAUAGGAAACAUGGUUGACGUGGUGGGUUUGGCUAACCUCACUAUGGUGACCAUGGAUAUCCUCUAGAUAGUUUUAGCUCUUGCCCGUUUCACUUUUAAGCAUUCAAGUUGCUUACUUGUUGCUUGUAAAACCUUUUCUAAAUUGCAACUGUUGGCUUUACUGUUGGCUUAAUAUAUAUGUACAAUGAGAAGGUCUAUUAAUAUUCAAUGGUGUGAGUUCUUCUACACACAUUUUCUUAGUGUGAGCCCGUCCCGUGCAUCAUAAACGUAGACCUCAUGUCGAAGUAGAACAUUCAAUUAUUUUUAUGAGAUGAGAGCAUAUAUCUACUACGAACAAAAUGCAUAUUAUUUUACUAAACAAUUGGGACGAAGAUAAUUUGUAUUAUUCGUUCCAAGUCCAACUGAGACAUUUUUUGCCAAUCAAUACAUUAUAUUAAAAUCUUCAAAUGAAGAUGAUGCAUACAAUACAAAAUUGAAAAGAUAAAUGGAAUGAUAAAAAGUUAGAAAAGAAAAGUAUAAGCCUAACAUCCAUGAGUCUCUAGCCUACUUCAAUUCUUGAAUGGAGCUAAACCAGACUUUCCAGUGGUAAAUAAAACUGAAACGUUCUUCUCGAUUAAUUGAGAUAUGUUGGCUAUUAACAAUGAUGAGUUCAUUUGCUAAGAACUUUAUGCUAUUUUUUUUUUAAUCAAAAUUUCUAAAGCUAAUCCUUUUUUCUAACACCUUUCUAAAGCUAAUCAAUCGUUUCCUUUUGUUUUAGGCUUUUAGCAGUUCUUUCCUUUUCAGGAAAUAUAAACUAAAUUCUAUAAAUCUUUUGCUACUUGGUGGUGCCAAAACCACGUGUCGCUUGAUUUUUUGAAACGGCAAGAGUUUCAUACGUAUCGCCAACCCCAACCUUCUCUUGGACACGACACAAGUAAGACGAAUUCCAAAAUAGACACGUGUUUGGAUACAAAUGGGAGUUAAUAAGUAUCAAACGCUAUUCUUAAUUAUCGUAAUUCAGUUGCUGAAAAGAACUGAUUUAGCUAAUUAAGUGGAAUUUCACUAAUUAAAGUUUGACCAGCUUCCUGAUUCGAAACAUGAGUUGCCAGUGGGAACAAACACGACUCAAAACUCCGUUACCAUGAUUCUGUGCAAGACCCAAUGGAGGAAAUGAUGGAUGCAGACUCUUCAGGAUGAUUGCAUGAACUUUGACUGACGUAGAAGUCCGGUCCACAGAGAUCCUAAGAGUUUUAAAUGUUGUUUCGAUGAGUAAUGCAUAACACUAUUAAUUAGUUUCCAAAAUUGGACUGGUUAAGGUAUUCUCAAGAUGAGUUAUAUUGGGUGCUAGUAUUGUAUAUAGGUUUAUUCAGUACGCUAUAUCUUUUUGUGGCGAUGUUUUGUCCUGAGAGAUUCUUUUAUCACUACAAGAAAACAGCUUGUUUCCUACAGACGAUUUAGUCGAAAUAAGCCAUUUCUGAUGAAUUUCGUUGGUUCUAUCUCGUCGAAAAAAAAACGUUUGAAUUUCGUCGGAUUUCUGACGCAUUUCCGACGGACAAAUUUCCGACGAAAUACCGACGAAUAAAUUUCCGACAAAAUACCAACGGAUAAAUUUCUGACGAAAUUCUGACAAAUCUUAUCCGUCGAAACUUUUGUAAACUAUUUUUAAAAUAAAAUAAAUUUUAUUUUAAAUAUAAUAUUUAAUGAAUUACGUAUAACAAAUUUUAAAAAUCAUUUAUAAUAAAUAUUUUUAAUUCUUUAUAUAUAAAUAAAAUAAAAUUUAAAAUUAGGAAAACGUUUUAACUAAAUCUUUUUUGUAAUUGAACCCAUUUCCUAGAAAUUAAAAACAUUUUAAUUAAAUCUAAAAAAAAACAAAAACUUUUUAUAGAUUGAAAAGGUUUAAAAAAAUGUGAAAAACGUUUUGAUAAUCUUUAGUAACCAGAAAAUGUUUUAUAAAUUAUAACAAACAAUAAAAACUUUUUAUAAGAACUUAAAUUUUUUUUUUUGAUGAAUUUUUUUUUUAAAGUUUAAAACGUUUUAUAAAAUCAUAAAAACGUUUUAAAACAACAAUAAUAAUAAAAACUUGAAAAUGUUAUAUAUAUAUUUAUUUAUUCUAAUAAAACUCCAAAAAUGUUUUAAAAUUUGAAAAAACAUUUUAUAAAUAACAAAAAAAAGAUUCACAAAACAACAAAUUAAAUAAACAAACUACAAAAUCACAAGCAAAACCUAUCUAAACCACAACAUAACAACAAAAUCUAACAUCUAAUUCAUAAUAUUCUUCAUCCUAACAUAAAUCCAACAUUCAAAACCUUAAAUUCACAAUUUCACAAUCAAAAAGUAACAUAAGUCAAAUGAGAAAAGGAAAGAGAUGACUUACAUAAUUUGUGAGGUGGAUUUGAGGAGUUUGAGCUUAGAAUCGUUGGAUUAGAGAGAGAGAAUCAAAGAGAAUUUGUGUAUGUUUAGAGAGAGAGAGAGGAGAAGUGAGGAAGAAGAAGGGGCUUGCGCUUUUAUAUUAAAAAUUUCUGACGGAUUGGAUUCAUCAGAAAUCCGUCAAAAUUUUUUAUUUUGACGUUUCACGAAAAAUUAGGCAGGGUUUUUCGGGGCAAAUUUCAAUUUCCGACGAAUAUACCAUUUUCGUCGGAAAUUCGCCGGAAUAUAUCAUUGUCGUCGGAAUUCGACAGAAAUAUAUUUGUCAGAAAUUUCCUACGAAUUUUGAACGAAUUAUAAUAGCCAUCGAUAAUAAAUUGAUGACUUUUAGGGUUUAAAAUCUUCAUAAUGUUUAGAAACACUUGAAAACACACAAACUAAAGAUUGCAAGAUGGAUCACCGAAAAGUAUUUGCUUAAGUGUAUAAGUGUUAACGAGAAAUAUUAGGUAUCCGUCCAUGCAUCAAUCGCAAGAAUAUAUAUAUAGCUUAAAUAAUUGAGGCAAUAUUAAUCUACAUCAUAUUUAUCACUUAAUAUAUCCGGAUGAACAUUUAUUUUGAAUAUUUCAUAUCUAAACUCAUGGUCGUCGAAAAUUCGUUGGAAAUUUGUGUCGAAUAUGCUACGAAAAUUUCGCAAUCCAUCAGAAUUUCGUCGGCAAUUUUCUAGGAAGAAAUUUGUCAAAAUUUCGUCGGACAUUUCUGACGAAUUUCCUACAGAAAUUUUUCAUUUCGUCGGAAAUCCGUCAGAAAUUUCUGAUGAAUUUCCGACGAAAACAUAAACCCCAAAUCUAUACCCUAAAUCGUGUAAUCUUCCUUGGGAGUCGUCGGUAUUUUGUCGCUUAUUUUUGAUGAAAGAAAGUUCGUCGGAAAUUCCUAAGAUAUUUCCGACAAAUGGUAAAAUUUUAUAUUUCUCGAAAUCCGUCAGAAAUUUCUCAGAAAUUUCCGACGAAUAUUUCUUCCGUCAGAAAAUGAAUAUGUUUUCUUGUAGUGUAUUGCACAUGGCCAUUUGCUAAUAAUCCAGUUUUAUGGAAUGGAUCUUGUGUGUUCACGAGGUUCAUGUGGCAGUCUUUUUCAACGAUUGGGACUUGGCUUUGUUUUAACUAGUUUUUCUAGGUGUUCCGGAUUAAUGAAAAUUCUAAGUUGGAAUUGCAGAGGACUCAGGAGUAAAUGGAUUAUUAGUUAUUUGAGAGAAAUUAGGGGGAAAUAUAAACCAGCGUUUCUAUUUUUAUCGGAAACCAAACAGCAAUUUGAUUUUGUGCAGUCUUUUUAAUUUCAUUUUGGAUAUUCUCAUCUCCAUACGGUUGAUCUUAUAGGGAGGAGUGGUGGGCUGGCUCUAUUUUAUGAUUCCACUUAUAAGGUAUAUAAACUCUUCAAGCAACAUAAUUAUAGACGUCGAGACAAAAUAUAACGGAAAAUGAAUUUUUAUUUCACUUGUUUAUGGCGAGUCAAAUCAAAAUUUUAGAGACCAGAUUUGGGAGAGGCUUACAAUAGGGAUCUUGAGGGACGAACCAUGGUUUAUUAUUGGAGACUUAAAUGAGAUUACGGGUAAUCAUGAGAAACAAGGAGGAGUUCUUAGACACGCAGAUACGUUUUUACAAUUCAAUAAUAUGAUAGAGAACUGUGGUCUGAUGGAGUUUCCAAGUCUUGGUAAUACUCUUUCUUGGAACGGAAGAAGAGCUGGACAUGUGUUAAGUGUCAACUGGAUAGGGCAUUGGCAAACAAUGAAUGGCAUAAUCUGUUUCCUUGCUCUUUUGUUGAAUACUUGGGUAUGAUUGCCUCUGAUCACAGGCCGAUUGUGGCAUCAAUAGAGGAUAAAGUACUAAACUUUUGACGGUAAUUUAGAUUUGAUAAAAGAUGGAUAGGUGAGGAUGGACUGAUGGAAUCUAUUGAACGUGGAUGGUCCACUCAGAGGGGUGGACGCCGCAUGGGUAUAGUAGAUAAAAUUCAUAAUUGUUGACAUGAAAUUUCUGUUUGGAAAAAGGAAAAUCCACCUUAUGGGAAGGAAAAAAUAAAUACUCUUCAGAGGGCUCUGGAGGAUGAUCAAAGCGAUUUGACAAAAUCUCUUGAAGUAGUGAUUGAGGUGUCCAGGAAACUAAAAGAGGCAUAUCGAGAUGAAAAAUUAUAGUGGGAACAGAAGAGUAGAACUUUGUGGCAUACAUGUGGAGAUAGAAAUACUAAAGUAUAUCAUGCUUUAACCAAACAAAGACGCAUACAAAACAUGAUUAUUGGUUUAUAUAACGAGGAUGGGGAUUGGAUUAAUUCAGAAGGUGAUAUGGAAAGUGUGUCGCUUAAAUAUUUCAAUGAUCUGUUCCAGUCUACCCCGCCUUCAGAGUUUGAUAGGUUUCUAGAGGAAGUUCCAACUUGGUAACAACUGCUCAAAAUAAUAGACUAACGGCUCAUGCUUCAAAGGAGGAAGUUAGGACGUCAUUAUUUAUGAUGCACCCGGAGAAAG